UUUUUUUUUUUUUUUUUUUUUCAGUUGCUCCCCAGAAAACAUUGGCCUAUAUCAUCACAUUGCUCUCUGCUGUAUUAGUGAUAUCAGUGAUAGUGAAUGUAAUCGUGGUGUUGUUAUGGAGAAGAGCUACACACAGAGGUGUUGACCAUGUUCAAUCUUCAUCCCAGACUGCAGACAUAAAUUAUGCAUCGCUGAAGUUCCCUCCACACCAGCCUACACGAAAAAUGAAAAGGCGUGAAGAGGCAACCUCUGUCGUCUAUGCAUCUGUCCAUCAAACAAGAAGCAUAAAACAAGGAUCUCCUCAUUCUUAAUGCUUGUCAUUUUUAAAGUGUGAAUAACAUUGACUUUGGAGAAAUGUGUUUUUUUUUUGUCUGCAAAAAUUUUAAAAGAAUGUCCAUCAUGUGGAGAAUUGGAGCAUUCAGCUGCAAGACAGACAAAAUUGUAUUUUGAUCUCAGUACAGUUAAAAGUUGCAAAGUGAUAAGGGACAAAUGUCUGUUACUGUCUUUUGUAGAUUUUUUUAUGUUAUUGUAAAGGGCAAUAGGAGUGUGUGGUCAUCAUGUUAUUCAAUGUCUAAAUUUUACACAUUAAAACACGGGGG
ensembl:lncRNA